rnacentral:rRNA from 1 species
AUACGUAUGUCGCAAGCGCUAUCCGGAAUUAUUGGGCGUAAAGCGAGUCUAGGCGGCUUGUUAAGUCAGAUGUGAAAAUGCGGGGCUCAACUCCGUAUUGCGUUUGAAACUGGCAGGCUAGAGUACUGGAGAGGUGGGCGGAACUACAAGUGUAGAGGUGAAAUUCGUAGAUAUUUGUAGGAAUGCCGAUAGUGAAGACAGCUCACUGGACAGAUACUGACGCUAAAGCUCGAAAGCGUGGGGAGCGAACAGGAUUAGAAACCCCGGUAGUCC